rnacentral:lncRNA from 1 species
AAACAAAAAAGCAAACCCUCCGGAGCGGGUCUGUUCCGGCUAUGCCUCUGCACUUCGGCUUCGAGGACUUGGCAUCACUCUCCGCCCCGCUCACCGGAUCUGGGGGUGCCGGUGGGGGCGGGGUGCGAGGAGUUCGACUCUGGACCCAAGUCUCGGGCGGGGUCCGGACCCCUCUGCGAACCCCCCUCCCGGGCGGCGGGAGAGGAGAAAGGGGAGAGCCCGAGUUCUCACCCCUCCCCCACCGCGGACCCCAGUCCCGAACCUACCCCUCCGCACCUUCCCGCAGCCGGGCGACCCCUCCGGCCUGACCCCCAUUGUUGGGGAGGGGCGGAUGGGCGAGGGGGCUCCGGGCAGGGGCGCCCGCGGCCGUGGCCCCGGCUCGCUCCGGGAGGGGGCGGCCCGCGGGAUGCAGCUUCCCUUCCUCUCCGCGUCGGUCCGUCCCACCUCGGCUCGGCCUGGCGCCCUGGGCUCCCUCGCUGCCCCCGGCCCGGCCCACCCCCCGGGCCGCCAGGCCCUCCGGCAGCUCGGCCAGCAGCCCGCGGUCCAGGCCUACCGGUGGGCGCGGGGUGGGGGUCCCUGUGCCCCACACACGAGUCCCCGCUCCCCCAGCCCAGCCGAUUCCAGGGCCCUCGGCGGAGCCCGUUCCGCGGGCCCCUCGACCCUUCGCCUCCGGGCCGGGCCGCCCCCCUCAAAGCCCCCCCCGGUCGUAGCCGCCUUCCCUCCCCCCACCAUCACCCCUACCCACUCGUGCCCCCCACCCCCCGGGGCACCAGUGCCAACGGCAGCUCCCCCAGCCCCGGACCUACCUGCACGGCUCAACCAAGCCUAGAGUGGGGGCGGGGAAUCUUCCGCCCUCCUCUGUCUCUCAUUGGCCUUCCGGGGCUCCUCGUGGGCGCCAUUGGUCGAGAGAGGGUGUCCAUCAGAGCGAUGGGGCGGGACAGAGAGGGGAGAGGGAUGCUGGUGCUUCGGCGUCUCUGUCUCUGUGUUAUCUCGCUGUCUCUGUCUCUGUCAGGGCCCUGGGAAACGAGAGGCUUUUGGACAGGAGCUCUGGAAAGGGGCCCUGAGGGGAGGACUUCAGAUAAAACCGAUGGAAGAAGGGAUCAAAAAUCACUCCAGGCUGGCCACGGUGGUUACUUCCCGGAGGGCAGCUCCAGUGAGCAGCUCGUGACACCUUCCUUUAACCAGUUCCCAGGAAGUGCCACCAGAGUAAGAGUAAAAUGAAGAAGUGAAAGCAACGGAAGAACCACCAGGAGGAAGGCCACAGGGAAUGCCCGGACAACAGUAGAGGGAGAGCUGAUGGUGGCCGCUGUGCAGCGGGCCUGGCGCAGUCAGCCCUGGGAGAAGCAAUUCUAAAGGCCACAGAAGGUGUGAGGUAGGAAGUCAGAUAUGAGCUUAUGUGUGUGUGACAUAAAGGCCUAAAGAGAAGACAUCUAUGUCCAGCAUAUGCAUCUGCAUCUCAAAGUCACCCUGAUAACGUUUCAGGGGCAGCCCGGUAUUCGCAUCCU